rnacentral:rRNA from 1 species
CUGACCUACGGGACGCAGCAGUGGGGAAUAUUGGGCAAUGGGCGCAAGCCUGACCCAGCAACGCCGCGUGAAGGAAGAAGGCUUUCGGGUUGUAAACUUCUUUUCUUGGGGACGAAGAAAGUGACGGUACCCAAGGAAUAAGCCACGGCUAACUACGUGCCAGCAGCCGCGGUAAUACGUAGGUGGCAAGCGUUAUCCGGAUUUAUUGGGUGUAAAGGGAGCGCAGGCGGCCUGGCAAGCCUGAUGUGAAAUACCGGGGCCCAACCCCGGGGCUGCAUUGGGAACUGCCAGGCUGGAGUGCCGGG